rnacentral:hammerhead_ribozyme from 1 species
AUCCAGCCGAUGAGUCCCAAAUAAGACAAAACGUGCGUCCUGGAU